rnacentral:misc_RNA from 1 species
AAAAAAAAAAAAAAAAAACUGUACAAGGAUGUUUUAAACUGCUAGCCAUUUUUUUAUAAGAUUUUAUCAAUUUGGUCAUCCACUUAAUCUAAGUGUAACAAAAUUACAACCUCUUUUAGUCAAUAAAGGGACCCACUAGGUGAUAACUGUAAGUUGACAUGGCAUGAUUGUAAACUCUCCCUCCCUUCACAAUACAAAGUGGGAAUUGAAGUUGGCAUAGAACAAUUUGAUAAGCUGACAGGUCAUCUCAAUGUUAUUUUUCUUUUGUCACAUCAAUUCACAAUUAUCAACCAACGAACACGCUGGCUCCAUCACAAUAUCGACACCACCUAAUUAAUGAUGAUUAUGGAUGGAACACUACACAGGAUAUUAUUGUUAUGCUACAUGAUUGAUCCUAGUUGAUGAAAUUAAAAAAACUUGUCAAUAAUUAAUAUAAUCCAUAAGCACUAAAGGAUAGUAUUAUUCACACUUCUGUUCUGGAAGAAUAAGUGGAAGGUAGUAUGAAAAGGUUCCUAAUAACUGUAAAAGAAAACUUUGAAUAUUCAUAAACUGCAAUUAAUAACAUGCUACUUUCCAUAAUAUAAGAAGGCUCAUCUACACAUAGCACAAUGAUGUCAAGAUAAAAUCAAGCAAGUUGAAACCAAAGUGGAUAAGUAAGAAGGAGGGUUAAGGCAUUUCUUGAAAUCGUAUAAAGAAAGUGAAGUCAUUCCAACUACUAAUAAAUAAUAGAUACAUAUGCCUCCCAAUGCCCCGUACCAUCCCCUUCCUCCUCUCUUCUGUUUGAAGAGAGAGAGAGAGAGAGACAG